rnacentral:rRNA from 1 species
ACGAACGCUGGCGGCGUGCUUAACACAUGCAAGUCGAACGGAAAGGCCCUGCUUUUGUGGGGUGCUCGAGUGGCGAACGGGUGAGUAACACGUGAGUAACCUGCCCUUGACUUUGGGAUAACUUCAGGAAACUGGGGCUAAUACCGGAUAGGAGCUCCUGCUGCAUGGUGGGGGUUGGAAAGUUUCGGCGGUUGGGGAUGGACUCGCGGCUUAUCAGCUUGUUGGUGGGGUAGUGGCUUACCAAGGCUUUGACGGGUAGCCGGCCUGAGAGGGUGACCGGCCACAUUGGGACUGAGAUACGGCCCAGACUCCUACGGGAGGCAGCAGUGGGGAAUAUUGCACAAUGGGCGGAAGCCUGAUGCAGCAACGCCGCGUGCGGGAUGACGGCCUUCGGGUUGGAAACCGCUUUCGCCUGUGACGAAGCGUGAGUGACGGUAAUGGGUAAAGAAGCACCGGCUAACUACGU